rnacentral:rRNA from 1 species
GUGGGGAAUAUUGCGCAAUGGUCGAAAGACUGACGCAGCGACGCCGCGUGUGGGAGGAAGCCCUUCGGGGUGUAAACCACUGUCGGGGGGGACGAAUCCCGGGCGGGCAAAUAGCCCGAACGGUUGACGGUACCCCCAAAGGAAGCACCGGCUAACUCCGUGCCAGCAGCCGCGGUAAGACGGAGGGUGCAAGCGUUGUUCGGAAUUACUGGGCGUAAAGCGCGGGCAGGUGGCCUUUUAAGUCCUGUGUGAAAUCCCGGGGCUCAACUCCGGAUGUGCAUAGGAUACUGGAAGGCUAGGGACUGGUAGAGGCGAGCGGAAUUCCUGGUGUAGCGGUGGAAUGCGUAGAUAUCAGGAAGAACACCGGUGGCGAAGGCGGCUCGCUGGGCCAGAUCCGACACUCAGCCGCGAAAGCGUGGGGAGCAAACAGGAUUAGAAACCCCAGUAGUCC